GACGCUCUGGGCCUGUCAGGAUCUCAGUGGCUCACGCGGCUUUCCAGAGCGGGGCACGGGCGGCCGCGGGGCUUCUGCGGCUUCUCGCCCACGGUUUGCGUCCACACUCCGCUCCGGCUCGGGGGGACUACAAGGCUCGCCCGGGACAGCGGUGCGGAGCUGGGGGUACCGUGGAGGAGGCGCCGCGAGGCCCAGCCCAGAGGGGCCUACUCGCCUCCCCAGGCCCCGCCCCGCGCCAAGCACGCUGGGAGCCGCGGGCUGCGGGAGCCUGCGCUCCUGCGGGGUGGAGGUCCUGGUUCUUCCUGGCUGCUUUGUCCCAGCUUUGGUUCUUUUGGGGUAUCGACAACCCCAGGACCUCAACGCGCGCUUCCGGGCCCCAGCUUAUCCUGCCCCUGACCCGGUGCGGAUGGGACAAUGCCGUGUCAGACCCCACCGGGGCCUUGCUCCCGGCCUGAGCCCGCCCGGGCCCUUCUGACACUGACCAUGCACGGAAAGCUGCUGCCGCUGGCCAGUCUCUACUUGGUGCAGGGCCUGCCCUAUGGGCUGCAGUCGAGCCUGCUGCCGAUCCUGCUGCGGGCCCGCGGCCUCUCCCUGACGCGCGUGGGUCUAGCCAAAGGUCUGUAUGCACCAUGGCUGUUCAAGCUGGCGUGGGCCCCACUGGUGGACAGACGGGGCUCCCCGCGGACCUGGCUGACGCUCAGCACAGCGGCUCUAGGCCUAGUAUGUGGGCUGCUGGCCGCACUGCCUCCCAACCAAGCCAGCCAGGACGCGCUGCCCGCCACCGUGAUGGGGCUGCUGCUGUUGCUGAACCUUGGUGCGGCUGUGCAGGACGUAGCCCUGGAUACACUGGCCGUCCAGCUCCUGGAUCCAGCCGAGCUGGGACCCGGCAACACCGUGCAGGUGGUCGCUUACAAGCUGGGGGCAGCGCUGGCUGGGGGCGGACUGCUGGUUCUCUGGCCCACUCUAUCUUGGCCACUGGUCUUUGUGCUCCUGGCUGCCACCUACUGGCUGGCCGCUGCACUGGCCUGGACUGCACCAGCGCUGCACCAGCUACCAUGGCCUCAGCCCUCAGAGCACACCCCACACCUGCAGGAUUUGCUGGCUGCUCCUGAGACCCUGUGGACAGCAGGCUUUGUGCUCACCUACAAGCUGGGUGAGCAGGGCGCUGGCAGCCUAUUUCCGCUCCUCCUACUGGACCAUGGUGCUUCUGCCCCAGAGCUGGGACUCUGGAAUGGCUUGGGUGCUGUGGCCUGCUCUAUCACUGGAUCCUCCUUGGGUGGAGCCCUACUGGCCAGGCGUUGGGAGCCACUCCUUCUGUUGAGGUCAGUGUUGCAGCUCCGCCUUGGGGGCUUGGCCUGCCAGACUGCCCUGCUCUUCUACCUGGACACUCCAGGGGCCGGUGUGGGCCCUGACACACUCCUAAGAGGAGCAGCCUUGCUGAGCCUGUGUCUACAGCACUUCCUGGGGGGCCUGGUCACCACUGCCACCUUCACUGUGAUGAUGCAUUGCAGCCAGCUGGCACCCAGGGCCCUUCAGAUUUCGGAACUGUGUUGAUCAUUGACAGCUGCACUGCUGCCUUGAGGAGUGGCCACGUGUCUACCUGUCCUACAUGGGGGCAGCAGCCUUGUGAGCAGGGCAGUCAUCGGCCAACCAGUAGGAGCUCCUCUGUGGCCAGUCGCAUCAGGGCAUGGAAACUCAGAUGUAGGUACUUUCUCCAGAAGCGCUGGUCCUGCCCAUAUACCUGGGCUGGGUAUCGAGGGCUUCCUGUGGUGGAGCAGAAAGACACAGACCUAAGGUGGGCUGGUUCCUGUCCCUAGCCCUGUCUGCACCAGGCAGCCCCUGGAGCCCUCACCAAUGCCAUGAAAGAUACGAGCCACGGCCCUGCUGGAAAACCUCUCUUCUGGCCUCAGGGACAGGAGCUGGCGGAUGUCAUGGCGGACCUGGUCCUCCCAGUCCUGAAGCUGUGGGUGGACAAGCACAUCAGACUUCCUGAGCUUCCACAGAACCACGUCCAACAUAGCCAAGCCUUUGGACAGGCUAGGUGCAGCUCCUGCAGUCGCUGGAGUAGGGACAGCAGAUCAUCAGGAAAAAGGGCCCAGGGGAGCUAUAGACUAGGUUGACAUUUCUCCCCUAACAACUACUACAGCGCGCUGGAUGACUGCCAGGACAAGAAGAUCCCGCGCUUUUGGCCUCUCACCGGCAGGUGCAAGAAGGUGAAAUCCAGCAGCCGCGCCAGCUGGUUGCCAGCCAGGUAGAGUACACGCAGCUGGGCUAGGCCCACAAAAGCCCCUCCCCGCAAGCCACGUAGCCUGUUGCCUGUGAGGGCCAGCUCCAGCAGGCGCGGUUGCGCGCGGAAAGCGCCAGACUCCAGAGCACGCAGGCUGUUGUUGUGCAGGUAGAGAUGGCGAAGGGCGGCGAGUGGCGCCAGGGCGCCUGGCUCCAGGCGCGCGAUGUUGUUGUCCUGCAGGAACAGCGUCUGCGGGCCGGGGGAGGGCGAAUCUUACCCCACUGCAGGAGUCUCUCGCUCCAUUGGGGCGCCCCACCGACCCCACCCGGAUGCUCACACAAGGCUCCCUCCAUCCCAUGGGCACUCGCAGCCUGCUCCAACCCGAGGCCCGGUGGCCCCACAUGGUGCCCACCUGCGUCCCUGGGGGGAUUCCCAGUGGGACGACGCGCAGCCGCAGGGCGCCGCACUCAACCGUGGCGCUGUAGCAGCGGCAGGCGGCGGGGCAGCCCGCGGCGCGAGGCGGGAGCCCUGGCAGUGGCGGCAGCAGCAGCAGCCCCAGCAGCAGCAGCAGCAGCAGCAGCAUAGGAGCCCCCGGGGCCAUUUCCCUAGAGAAAUGGCCUGGGACUGCGAGCCUCCCCAGGGUUGGCCCCAGAUGGGAUGGAUGCACCUCCUGAAACACAGGUUGGCAGGCCACUGCUAACAUUAUAGAGCCAGCCCAAGAGCACGAGUGGAGGCCCACACAACCUGUGUCUAACCUUCACAAAGUUUUAGGUCAGUUCGUGUGCUGGGGAUUGUAAGUCGGUGGCAGAGCACCUGCCUCGCAUACACAAGGCCCUGGGCUACCCUGUCUGCAACCCCCCUCCCAAUAAAGAAACUGAUGAAUAAAA